rnacentral:rRNA from 1 species
UACGUAGGGGGCAAGCGUUGUCCGGAAUCAUUGGGCGUAAAGAGCGCGUAGGCGGUCCGGUAAGUCGGUUGUGAAAACUGGGGCUCAACCCUCAGAGGCCGACCGAUACUGUCGGGCUAGAGUCCGGAAGAGGCGAGUGGAAUUCCUGGUGUAGCGGUGGAAUGCGCAGAUAUCAGGAGGAACACCAAUGGCGAAGGCAGAUCUCUGGGCCGUAACUGACGCUGAGGAGCGAAAGCAUGGGGAGCGAACAGG